CCUACGGGAGGCAGCAGUGGGGAAUAUUGCACAAUGGGGGAAACCCUGAUGCAGCGACGCCGCGUGAGUGAAGAAGUAUUUCGGUAUGUAAAGCUCUAUCAGCAGGGAAGAAAAUGACGGUACCUGACUAAGAAUCCCCGGCUAACUACGUGCAAGCAGCCGCGGUAAUACGUAGGGGGCACGCGUGACCCGGAUUUACUGGGUGUAAAGGGAUCGUAGAUGGCGCGGCAAGUCUGAAGUGAAAGGCAUGGGCUUAACCCCUGAACUGCUUGUGAAACUGGCAUGCUAGAGUGCUGGAGAGGUAGGUGGAAUUCCUAGUGUAGCGGUGAAAUGCGUAGAUAUUAGGAGGAACACCAGUAGCGAAGGCGGCAUACUGGACAGUAACUGACGUUGAGGCUCGAAAGCGUGGGGAGCAAACAGGAUUAGAUACCCGAGUAGUC
rnacentral:rRNA from 1 species